GCCAGCGUGGCUCAAUGGCAGAGCGUCGCUUUCCUAUUUCCUAAUGGGGUUAACAACCCAUUAAGUGCUAAGGCGAAGGUUGCGGGUUCGAUCCCCGCCGUUGGUU